rnacentral:rRNA from 1 species
UACGAAGGGGGCUAGCGUUGUUCGGAAUCACUGGGCGUAAAGCGCACGUAGGCGGAUUAUUAAGUCAGGGGUGAAAGCCUGGAGCUCAACUCCAGAACUGCCUUUGAUACUGAUAGUCUCGAGUUCGGAAGAGGUUGGUGGAACUGCGAGUGUAGAGGUGAAAUUCGUAGAUAUUCGCAAGAACACCAGUGGCGAAGGCGGCCAACUGGUCCGAUACUGACGCUGAGGUGCGAAAGCGUGGGGAGCAAACAGGGAUUGGAUACCCUGGUAGUCCACGCCGUAAACGAUGAAUGCCAGCCGUUGGGGAGCUUGCUCUUCAGUGGCGCAGCUAACGCUUUAAGCAUUCCGCCUGGGGAGUACGGUCGCAAGAUUAAAACUCAA